rnacentral:rRNA from 1 species
UUUGAACCUGGCUCAGGAUGAACGCUGGCGGCGUGCCUAAUACAUGCAAGUCGAGCGAACCACUUCGGUGGUGAGCGGCGAACGGGUGAGUAACACGUAGGUGAUCUGCCCAUCAGACGGGGACAACGAUUGGAAACGAUCGCUAAUACCGGAUAGGACGAAAGUUUAAAGGUGCUUCUGGCACCGCUGAUGGAUGAGCCUGCGGCGCAUUAGCUAGUUGGUAGGGUAAAGGCCUACCAAGGCGACGAUGCGUAGCCGACCUGAGAGGGUGAACGGCCACACUGGGACUGAGACACGGCCCAGACUCCUACGGGAGGCAGCAGUAGGGAAUCUUCGGCAAUGGGCGAAAGCCUGACCGAGCAACGCCGCGUGAAUGAUGAAGGCCUUCGGGUUGUAAAAUUCUGUUAUAAGGGAAGAACGACUUUAGUAGGAAAUGGCUAGAGUGUGACGGUACCUUAUGAGAAAGCCACGGCUAACUACGUGCCAGCAGCCGCGGUAAUACGUAGGUGGCGAGCGUUAUCCGGAAUUAUUGGGCGUAAAGAGCGCGCAGGUGGUUGAUUAAGUCUGAUGUGAAAGCCCACGGCUUAACCGUGGAGGGUCAUUGGAAACUGGUCGACUUGAGUGCA